GGUCCUGUAGCUCAGUUGGUAAUGCAUAGCGCUUGCAACGCCAGGAUAGCGGGUUCGAUUCCCGGGACCA
rnacentral:tRNA from 1 species